rnacentral:misc_RNA from 1 species
CCCAGAAGUCGCCUGGUGUUGAAUCAAUUAGUAUUCAAUGGGAUAGAUUUAUCACCCCUUGGUCCAUUGGUUGAUUCGGUUAUGGAUUCAAUAGAUAAAUCUCUUCAUUUCCUUUUACCGGAUGGUGAACGCAGAGGUUCUAGCUGUGAAGAAGAUCAUUUCCUGUGUCUGCAACAUGAAGCUGGUCAUUUUCUGGUUGGCUACUUGCUUGGGGCUCUCCCAAAAAGAUAUACAGUACCAUCUGUUGAAGAACUGAGAGAUGGCAAUUUCGAGGGAGGGAAAGUAGAGUUUCUGGGAUUUGAGUUUCUCAGAGAAGUUGGUGCUGCCCAGAUGCUUAGGAAAAAUAUUAUAAAUGAAGAAUCAUCCUGUUCGGGCAAUAGAGGCAAAAUUUCAUCCAAGACUUUAAACAACUUUUCUUGCAUAAUAUUAGGAGGCUUGGUGGUGGAGCACCUAGUAUUUGGGGAUUCUGAAGGUCAUUAUUCUGAUGUUGACAAGGAACAGUUGGACAAAGCACUUAAAUGGUUGGGUUUCUCCAACAGCCAAGCAAACUUUCAAGUGAGAUGGGCUGCACUAAACACUGUCUUUGUAUUGUGUCGUCAUCAUAAAGCUAGAUUGAAACUGGUAGAAGC